UGAGUCCAGUACCUUAAAGUGAGACUUGAGUAAAAGUACAAAUAUGUGACCAGAAAGUCACUUUUUAUAAAAUGAUUCAGGUAAAAGUUUGGCAUUUACUGUACUUGGGUAUCAAAAAUCAUUUCUGAUAUAAAAUGUAGUCAAAAGUGCUAGAAAUAACAAAGUACAGUACAAAUACGUACAAAUAAAUUCCUGCUCGACUCCAUGGACGAGAAAACUGUCGUCAUUUUCCUGUAAGUGCAGAGUGACGAGCAGAGAAAGUGAAAGUAACUAUUCUGUCACUUUGCUUCAGUCGCCAUUUGAACUGCGCAGCACGAGGACAGACUGAAGAGGAGGCUUGCUCUCUGUGCUGUGACAAUGUCACCUGCAGUGACCAGCUUGUGUAAGGGCAGCUGUAGCAUCACCUGUUUCUCCUUCAACACAGCUGCAGCUGUUGUGCUGCGGUGGAAAAACGUGACAACUUUCCUCACUCUGCCGAGGAGUCGGGACAUCUGGUGAACGCCCAUCGCUCUCUGCGCAGCCAGAUUAACGUAUAUGCGGUGAAAAUCCGGCCGCUUCGACAGCAUUGGCAAUGUUUCUGCCGUUAUCUGUUGUCACUUAAAGCACUUACAGCAAAUUGUGUGGGUCUUGUCGACUACACCAUUGCCGUCCUUUAUCUCCACCAUGUAGCCCAAAUGUUGCCAUACUGCUGACUGAAAUGAAGAGGGAGGAUCCGCUAUUUCUGGUUUUCUCUCGUGUGAUCACUGGACUGAACACAGAUCCACAUCAGACGUCCUCCAGGAAACAUGAAGGAGAUUUUCCACUCAAACUGAGAGAAUGACUGAAGUCCAGCAGAAGAGUGGUUGUGUGGAGGAAGACGAGGACAGAGCAGAGUCUCCAGGACCCAGCGGUCUGUCUGUGAAGAGUGACCAGUCUAUGAACCCACCUUUAACCUUCAGUCAUGAACCUGGAGCCUCAGAGACAAAGUAAGAGACUCAUGCACUGACAACAAGAGAACAUCAUACACUCUUAACCCGAAUUAGUUGACUUUACUCACAAAUCGCGUGGCAACCUGUUGCCCUAUACCAC